AGGAGAUGCUCUAUCCAUGAGGAGAUGGUCUAUCCAUGAGGAGAUGGUCUCGUGCUAAUCCAGGCUGGAAUCACAGAAUUCUACAUGCUGCCACUAUGACAAGAAGACUUAAGAAAAGGAAUUCAGUCUCUAGACGCUGUGCCUGGAUUAUCUGGAACCUUCGUCAAGGAGCCCUCACGACCGCCUGCUCCGUGCU